rnacentral:rRNA from 1 species
GAAUCCCGUCUUUGGCAUGGAUGACCGGGGCUUUUGUGAUGCGCUCUCGAAGAGUCGAGUUGUUUGGGAAUGCAGCUCAAAAUGGGUGGUGAACUCCAUCUAAAGCUAAAUAUUGGCGAGAGACCGAUAGCGAACAAGUACCGUGAGGGAAAGAUGAAAAGCACUUUGGAAAGAGAGUGAAACAGUACGUGAAAUUGUUGAAGGGGAAACGCUUGAAGUCAGUCGCGUCGGCCGAGACUCAGCCUUGCCUCGGCUUGGUGUACUUCUUGACCGACGGGUCAGCAUCAAUUUUGCCCCUUGGAUAAUGGCGAGGGAAAUGUGACACCUUUAUAGGUGUGUUAUAGUCUCUCGUCGCAUGCAAGGGUCGGGAUUGAGGAACUCAGCACGCGCCUUCGGGCGUCGGGGCCUUGCCCACGAUACGUGCUUAGGAUGUUGGCGUAAUGGCUUUAAACGACCCGUCUUGAAACACGGACCAAGGAGUCUAACAUGCCCGCGAGUGUUCGGGUGGAAAACCCGUGCGCGCAAUGAAAGUGAAAGUUGGGACCUCUGUCGCGGAGGGCACCGACGCCCGGACCAGAGCUUCUGCGACGGAUCUGCGGUGGAGCGUGUAUGUUAGGACCCGAAAGAUGGUGAACUAUGCCUGAAUAGGGUGAAGCCAGAGGAAACUCUGGUGGAGGCUCGUAGCGAUUCUGACGUGCAAAUCGAUCGUCAAAUUUGGGUAUAGGGGCGAAAGACUAAUCGAACCAUCUAGUAGCUGGUUCCUGCC